CCUACGGGGGGCAGCAGUGAGGAAUAUUGGUCAAUGGACGAGAGUCUGAACCAGCCAAGUAGCGUGAAGGAUGACUGCCCUAUGGGUUGUAAACUUCUUUUAUAUGGGAAUAAAAUGUUCCACGUGUGGGAUUUUGUAUGUACCCUAUGAAUAAGGAUCGGCUAACUCCGUGCCAGCAGCCGCGGUAAUACGGAGGAUCCGAGCGUUAUCCGGAUUUAUUGGGUUUAAAGGGAGCGUAGGUGGAUUGUUAAGUCAGUUGUGAAAGUUUGCGGCUCAACCGUAAAAUUGCAGUUGAAACUGGCAGUCUUGAGUACAGUAGAGGUGGGCGGAAUUCGUGGUGUAGCGGUGAAAUGCUUAGAUAUCACGAAGAACUCCGAUUGCGAAGGCAGUUCACUGGACUGCAACUGACACUGAGGCUCGAAAGUGUGGGUAUCAAACAGGAUUAGAUACCCGUGUAGUC
rnacentral:rRNA from 1 species